UCGCCCGCAACAAAAUUCAGACGUUUACCGACAACGAACGCGAGCGGGAGCAAAUUUGAUCAAAUCUAGAAAGCAUCGGACGGCUAACACAAGUGGUGUGUUUGUGUGUGAGGGUGCGUGUGUGUGUGUGUAUGUGAGUUGGUGCUACCAUACACUCCGCUACAUACAAAAAGACAAGAAGGAAAGCAGCAACCAACCAUUUAGCGAGUGCUACACAGUCUUCGCCUAUAUCUUCUGCCCGCACGACACAUAUUGUACAUUAAUUCAUUUUCCCAUUUUUUUCGAAAAGUGGAAAAGACAAUUAAUUGUUUUAGAAUAUAUUUUUUAUAUUGGCACCGCUCUCGAAACCAUAAUCCCUCAACGUUUACGACUCGGAGUUUGAGUGUGAGUGUUUGUGGAAAUUCGAAUUAGAAUUGGAAAUAUUAUUUUUUGUUUUGACUGCAGUAACCGUUGAUGAUCUCCCGUUGUAAAGUCAAGUAACGCGAGUGUACAUGUGUGUGCGUGUAAUACUUCUCGCCUAACCCAACAGUACGUAGGAAACAAAUUUUAAAAAUAGACCUAGUCCAAACACUGGGUCGCUAUAUAUCCCGGUGGCAGCAACUCUCAAUCAUCAAUCGGCUUGACAAUUCAUUUGUUCCAGAUAUAAAUUCCAACCUAUAAACCAACAACAUGUCUGGCGAUGUCCAACCACGCAAACGUAAGGACAAAAAGAAGAAACGUGAAUCUCUUGACUAUCGAAAAUCUGAGGGUGAGCUUGUUUUCUCCCGUCAAUCCAGUGUACAAGAUGACGAAUCUUCGCAUGGUGUUCAUAUCACCAAAAUGAUGUCCGAUGAUGUACAUUUGCAUGUUCAGCAUGAUCAUGGCACUGGAGGUCAUUGGUGUGCCAAGAUAAUUUUCUUCUCUUUGAUGACUGUACUAUUGGGCUUGGUAUGCCUAAUAAUCUUGGAAAAUCGAGGCAUUUCGGAUGUUGACACACCCUUAUCGGAAUCGCGUUUUUCAAAUUAUUUCGAAGGUUGGGUUGAUGAACAUCGAGCGGAUGAUGAUCAUGGUGCUGCGCAUGGUUCAGUUGAGGAGGACCACGAUGAUCACGACGAUCACGAUGAUGACCAUGAUGAACCGUAUGAGGAAGAAGCCGAUGCCUCUGAGGGGGAUGAAGAGGAGAAUGUAACACAAGAAGAAGCUGAAGAGGCUGAUGAAGAUGAAGAUGAUGAAGAUGAUGAAAAUGCCACAGCAGAAGAUGACAAUGCUACUGCCGAAGAUGUCGAAGAGGAUGAUGAAAAUGCUACAGGCGAAGAUGACAAUGCCACAGCUGAAGAUGAGAAUGUAACACCCGAAGAUGAUGAGAAUCUCACAGCGGAAGAUGAUAAUGUUACUGCUGAAGAUGAUAAUGUCACUGCUGAAGAGGAUAAUGCCACUACUGAAGAUGACAAUGUUACCGCAGAAGAGGAAAAUGUUACAGCCGAAGAAGAUGAAGAGGAUGAUAAUAAUACAAAUGAGGAUAAUUUCGAUGACAAUGUAACCCAGGAAACAUCCAAGCCAGUUUCAAAGGGCAGUGCUGCAGACGAGGAUACAUUUGAAGAGGAUGAGGAUGACACCAAUGUGGACUCUAUUGAAAAUAUUGUCGACAAUGAUGCUUCAGAAUUAGAAUUAUUAAAGGAGAAAGCACGCCAGCAAGCAGCAGCUGAGGCUAAGAACAAUCCAGUAUCAGAAGAAAAUGAAGAGGAACUGGCGGAGCAAGCAUCAUCAUGGUCCUCGUCACUGACGGUAAAAAUUGGCGUUGGUCUGGCCCUAGCUUUAGUCGCGCGUCUAGUCUUGCUUAAGAAAAAUCCAAACACAAGCGAAGAGGCUGCUCCUGAAGUUCUUAUGAAACGUCGCCUUACCAUAGCAACACCAGAGGAAGACAUACCGGAAGAUACCAAUGAAAUAGUGGAGGCCUUACCGGAAAAUGAAGAAGAAUUUUCUGAAGAAGAAAUAGAAAUCGAAGAGGAGAUCGAAUACAUCGAUGACAUCGAAGAGGAACAGGUUGCGGAGGAAAACGAAGUCGAUGCCGGUGAAAAUGUUUACAAACCUGAGACAUUCGAAGAACUUAAUGCCAUGUACAGGCCAAAAGGUUAUCAAGCCGAAAACUAUGAUGAUAAUAGAACUCAAACGAAAACUGACCCCGAAACAUACUCGUAUCGUUCCCCAUAUCAGACUUCUUUUAAAACUCCUACCACUACCACAACACCAGUUACAACUACAACAAAUUACACAAGUCCAGUCCAAAUUGUUAGGGAGGAGCCCACUGUGAACACUGUGCCCCAAAGACCUUCAAUGAGACCGCCAAUAUUCGAAGCCCCUCCACCACCUCCAUUGGUUGAGGCCAAAAUUGAGAUGGCAAAGCCUUCAACAACCUACAUGAGUAAUAGUGCCAAACAAUCAUCACCACGAAGCAGUAUGGACAACUAUUCAUCUUCUCGCUUGGAAGAGAAAAAAUAUUCCCCUCCACAUGUAGAAGAGAAAAAAUAUUCUCCUCCCAAUGUUGAAGAGAAAAAAUAUUCACCACCCCAUAUGGAAAGGGAGCAAUACUCACCACAAACUCAAGUUGAAGAGAAAAUACAGAAAGUUGAAGAGCCCAAGCCCCAAACUAAAAGGGAGGUGACAUAUGACAUGGAUUAUAGGCCCGAAAUGGACUAUGAUGAGGAUGACAUCUACGAUGAUGAUGAUGAAGAAGGACAAGACGAUGACUCAGAAGACUUGGAAGAUGAUGACGAUUUAAUCGAUGACGAUGAUGAGGAAGAAGAUGACGAGGACCCAGAUGUAUCGGAUAUUGAUGAUAGCGAAUUAAUGAAUCGUUUGGAGGCUAAAUAUGGCAAACUUCCAGCAAAAGAAUAUGAGAGUGACGAAGAUCCUGAUGAUCCUACUUGGACACAAAUUAAACCAAAACCCAGUGGUGGUGGAGGCCCCCAGUCAAUGGAGGGUGAUGAAGAUUUAUUUGAACAAGAGUUACGAAGAGCCAACGAAGAAAUGAUGCGAGAGUUCAAUUAUCAUUAGAUAUGGCCUUUUUCCCUUAACCUAAAUGCUUAGCUUGUAUUCAUUUUGUUUUGUUUAGUUUCUUAAAAUUUUUUUAUUUCCUUUUAAAUAACUUUUGGUUUUGAUUAGUUCGUAAGAGACCUAAAGAGUCUAAGACCAUAACUGAAAAGAACAUAUAUAAUUUAUGAAUAAAGUAAUUUUUUUUAUGAUUUCAAACAACAAUUAUCCACAAAUAUUGUAUAGAGGUCCCCAUAAGCAUAGUGACUGACAAUAUUAACCUGAGUUUCAAUCAUAUGUUGCAUUUCGUUUUCGUUAGCUGCUAUUAUAGCAAAAUUAACUUAAUAUUUGUUUAACGAUAUAAUUGUAAUAGAUUUUAAAUACACCCACACUUUAAAAAUGGAAUUUAUUAUAAUUCAAACAAAUAUUGACUUAAUUUUGAGUGUUUUUUUUUAUAAAUUUUCAAUGGUUCUCUAAUUUACGCUGCAACUGCCUAUCUACCAAUUUUUAUUAACUUUUUAUUAUCCAAACGCCUGAUUGAAAACUGCUUUUAAUAAAUCAAUAAACAGCCAGACCAUAGAGUGCCCCUUAACAUAGCUUCUUUUUCUUCUUCUUAAUGCAUAUUUGCCUAAAACUUAAAAUUUUUUUGUUUUAAAUAACAAAAUUGUACUCUGUAUCAUGAAAGCAUAAAAAAAAUCAUUCGAAAUUCUUUUUUCAAUUCAUUUGAAAUUGGAAUAUUCGGUAAUCAUAUCAAGGAGUCCAUUGGCGUGGUAUACCUCAAGUUUAAAAUUACCAAAGAAACAGAGUAUAGGUUGAAAGUAAUUUAAAAUUGCAUCCCUGAACCAUCCCUAACAGAGGCAAACAAUUAAUACAAUCUCCCUGGAUAAGAGAUCAGAAAUGUGUUGCUGUCUUUGGAAAAGAUUUUGUUCGCAUUACCUUUACUUUAUAUUUUCUCUUCUACUUUGUUCCUGAUUGCUUUUCCCUAUAGUUAAAUUUUAUUUUAUUGAAACAA